UACAGGGGAUGCAAGUGUUAUCCGGAAUUAUUGGGCGUAAAGCGUCUGCAGGUGGAUAAACAAGUCUUUUGUUAAAUAUUUAAGCUCAACUUAAAGUCUGCAAAAGAAACUAUUAUUUUCUAGAGUAUGGUAGAGGUAAAGGGAAUUUCCAGUGGAGUGGUAAAAUACUUAGAUAUUGGAAAGAACACCAAAAGCGAAAGCACUUUGCUGGGCUAGUACUGACACUAAGAGACGAAAGCUAGGGGAGCAAACGGG
rnacentral:rRNA from 1 species